CCUACGGGAGGCAGCAGUGGGGAAUUUUGCGCAAUGGGCGAAAGCCUGACGCAGCAACGCCGCGUGCGGGAUGACGGCCUUCGGGUUGUAAACCGCUUUCAGUGGGAAAGAUAAUGACGGUACCCACACAAGAAGCUCCGGCUAAAUACGUGCCAGCAGCCGCGGUAAUACGUAUGGAGCAAGCGUUAUCCGGAUUUAUUGGGCGUAAAGCGCGCGUAGGCGGCUUGUUAAGCAAGGUCUUAAAUCUUGGGGCUCAACCUCAAGCCGGAUCUUGAACUGGCAGGCUCGAGUAUGGUAGAGGAAAGUGGAAUUCCCAGUGUAGCGGUGGAAUGCGCAGAUAUUGGGAAGAACACCGAUGGCGAAGGCAGCUUUCUGGGCCAUUACUGACGCUGAGGUGCGAAAGCUAGGGGAGCAAACAGGAUUA
rnacentral:rRNA from 1 species